rnacentral:rRNA from 1 species
UUCCGGUUGAUCCCGCCGGACCUGACUGCUAUUGGAGUAGGACUAAGUCGCGCUAGUCAAAGGUGCGGAAAGGAGCACCUGGCAUACGGCUCAGUAACACGUAGUGAACCUGCCCUAGGGACGGGGAUAACCACGGGAAACUGUGGAUAAUACCCGAUAGGAAAUUCGGCCUGGGACGGUGUCUUUCCUAAAACUGGCUCGCCGUGAGACACAGGCCCUAGGAUGGCGCUGCGGCCGAUUAUGCUUGAUGGUGGUGUAAAGGACCACCAUGGCGACGAUCGGUAUGGGCAAUGGAAGUUGGAGCCCAGAGUCGGCUACUGAGACAAGGAGCCGAGCCUUACGAGGCUUAGCGGUCGCGAAAACUCGCCAAUGCACGAAUGUGUGAGUGGGCUACUCCAAGUGCCAUUCUUACGGAUGGCUGUCGCCCAGUGUUCACAGCUGGGAAAGGAAGGAGAGGGCAAGGCUGGUGCCAGCCGCCGCGGUAAAACCAGCUCUUCGAGUGGUCAGGACGAAUAUUGGGCCUAAAGCGCUCGUAGCCGGACAAGUAGGUUCUUGGUUAAACCCGUGGGCAUAACUCACGGAACGCUGAGAAUACCGCUAGUCUAGAGAGCGGAAGAGGGCAGCGGUAGUCAUAGGGUAGGGGUGAAAUCCUGUGAUUCUAUGGCGACCACCGAUGGCGAAGGCAGCUGCCUGGGACGUAUCUGACGGUGAGGAGCGAAGGCUAGGGGAGCGAUCCGGAUUAGAUACCCGGGUAGUCCUAGCAGUAAACGAUGGCUGCUAGGUGUUGCGGCGGCCAAGAGCCACCGCAGUGCCACAGCGAAGGCGUUGAGCAGCCCGCCUGGGGAUUACGUGAGCAAUCAUGAAACUUAAAGAAAUUGACGGGGGUCCACCACCAGGAGUGAAGCCUGCGGUUUAAUUGGAUUCAACGCCGG